rnacentral:sRNA from 1 species
UUUAAUUGGUUUUUCAUCUUAUAAUUUGGUAUUAAAUGUAAAAUACAUAAUUUUGUUUAUAGAAAUAAAUAAACUACAUAAUUUAUUGUUGACAGUGUAUACAUUUAUUUAGAUGUGUUUCUAUAUAAGGUGCAAAAUAAAGAAAAUAGAAAAUCAUAUAUAUGAAAGUUGGCAAACUCUCUCCAUAUGAGUGACACAUCAUCACACCAGUGAGUGUCACAUGUCAUUCUAAAUUAAUAUCAUUAAAAAAUAACAAAACUUAGUGAUAAAAAUUGAAAAGUUUCACAUUGCAUUAAAUCAUCCAUUAAUCUCACUCUUAACAAAAUAUCUUUAUUU